GAACAAGUACCGUGAGGGAAAGAUGAAAAGAACUUUGAAAAGAGAGUUAAAAAGUGCGUGAAACCGUUAGAGGGGAAGCGGAUGCAGUUAGCAAUGCUUCUGCGAGAUUCAGGCGGUCGCUCGGCCAGACGUGUAGUUGGUGGAUCUGAAUGGACUGUCGCUACACGGCCGGGUCUUGUGCCCGUCGCACUUCUCGCUGGAGCGCGUCAACAGCUGCUGAGCCUGGUCGACACGGUCGCGUGGAAGGUGAGCAUCCAGCUUGCUGGCUGUUGUUAUAUCCACUCGUGCCUAGAUCGGGCUUGGCAGAGGUGAGCGGUGCAUGCUCUCUCUCGAGAGGGCUGGCGUCCUGUCCCGUUCACGUAGCUGGCUCGGAUGCACUGCGUGCAGUACGUUCUUGCCGGUGAAAUGGCGUGCAGUCAACGCACACGAUGCACCAUGGUUGUUGGCGGCCAUAUGGCUUUAUCCGACCCGUCUUGAAACACGGACCAAGGAGUCUAACAUGUGCGCAAGUCUUGGGGUGACCGAAACCCAGAGGCGCAAUGAAAGUGAAGGCCGCUUUUGUGGCUGAGGUGAGAUCCUUGCUCUACGCGAGUGAGGCGCAUCAUCGACCGACCUAUUCUACUCUUAGGAAGGUUUGAGUAAGAGCGUACAUGUUGGGACCCGAAA
rnacentral:rRNA from 1 species